rnacentral:rRNA from 1 species
AUGCUUGCGGAUGUAAACCUCAACCAGGGUAGCCAAGACACAAUAUCUUGGAAGUUCACCAACAGUGGCGAGUACUCCGCUUCCUCGACUUACAUGGUGCAGUUUGUCGGUCUCUCAUUUUGCCCAAUGAAUGCUACAAUCUGGAAGAUGUGGGCUCCUCCGAAGUGUAAAUUUUUUGCUUGGUUGAUCUUCCAAAAUCGUGUUUGGACAGCCGAUCGUUUGCUGCGCCGAGGUUGGCCAAACUGUAAUUUGUGCCCUCUCUGCAAGCAAGUGCAAGAAUCUGCUGCUCACCUCCUAUUCCAAUGUAGGUUCACUGUCCGGAUUUGGACUGAAAUUUGUACUUGGCUUGGCAUUCUUGACUCCUCACCAAUGAUUUGGCGUCAUGAAGACUCAGUUAAAGAUUGGUGGCUUAAGGCGGUUAGUGGGGGAGGUGACCACAGGAAGGCCACCGCCUCCUUGAUGAUGCUUGUCUCAUGGGAAAUUUGAAAGGAGCGCAACGCAAGAAUUUUUCAUAAUGUCUCCGCUCCGACCUCUAUUGUUAUCGCGAAAAUCAAGGAGGAGGCUCAUCUGGACUUUGGCAGGAGCGAAGCAGCUUAG